rnacentral:rRNA from 1 species
GUGUCAGCCGCCGCGGUAAGACGAACCGUGCGAACGUUGUUCGGAAUCACUGGGCAUAAAGGGCGCGUAGGCGGUGCGUCAAGUCUUGGGUGAAAUCUUUCGGCUCAACCGGAAAAGUGCCUGGGAUACUGACGCGCUGGAGGGAGAUAGGGGUCUUGGGAACUACCAGUGGAGCGGUGAAAUGCGUUGAGAUUGGUAGGAACGCCGGUGGCGAAAGCGCAAGACUGGGUCUCUUCUGACGCUGAGGCGCGAAAGCCAGGGGAGCAAACGGGAUUAGAAACCCUUGUAGUCC